UACCACAAGAAUCAGGCCUACUACAACACUUUGUAUCGUGAAUUUUGAGCACCUCUUUCGCCAUCUCUGGGGACGAGAUGACCAGAAGAGGGACUUGGCCAAGUUUGAGGUGCAUGACAGGUCCAUAUUUCAGGGACAGCUUCUGCAGUGAAACGUGAGGCAAUUUUCCAAGCUGGUGAAGGUUGCCUAUGAUUGGAAGCCUUGCUGGACCUGGCGGUAGGUUUUCCAGAUUAUUAUUUCUAUUCACUUUUCCAAGACAAAACCAUGGAAGGACGAAGAAGACCAGAAAAGUAGUAAUGACAGUUAAAAGCCAGAAAACAGAGUUGGAGCUGAGGAAUUCAGAGAAAAUUUCCAUGGUGAUGAGCAAGAUCAGUGAGACGAUCUACUACUCUUUCUGUUUGUAUGAAUAAUGUAAAAGACACUGAGAGGCUACAAUAAAUUUAGAUACCAUAAUUUCCAUGACUGAUCUGGUACCUAAUAAUAGUACUACCAAAGUGUUAGGUGCAUGUCUAACCAGAGUAAUGCUAUUAAUAUUGUACCUUCAUAAAGCUAGAUAACCUGACCAGCUCCAUUUUCAUUGUUAUGAACUACUAAUCCUUGGCCACAAAGCCGAACAGGACUUAUUUCGUUAUUUUUUUUCAGGUUUUCUAUGUAGUAUUAGUAAUAUUUCAAAGUUACAAACAAAUAUACACAGGAAUUUCAAGUGCACUUCAUUGAGCUUUCAAGAAGAGAAGAAGAACACUUCAUUGAAAAACAUAUUGAAAUAAAUCUUAUAUGAGAGUAUGAGACAUAACUCACAAUGGAAAAUCAAACUUGUCAAGGAAACAAUUUUCCCCUUGAAAAAAAUGACUAUAAACAUCGAAUAAAUAAUUUUCUUUAAUAACCUUCAAAUUCUUCGAGCGGAGAACUGCAUUGGUAUAGAAGAACUUGGUCUUUGUUUGAGUCCACUCAUCAUCAUCUUGACCCCAUCAAUAUUGCUUAGAGAUUUUCUAUUUCUCAAUGGCGAAACCAAUUUGUUUGCCAAUCUUGAUGGUGAAAAUGAUCUACGCAAUUUUGUUGCAUCACGAUCAUGGCAUCAUGUAAAGUCUUCUUAAUUUCGGUCUCCUUAAACUUCUCACCUCCAACAUUAGUGCCAAAAGCAACCUCACAUAUGAUGUUCUUUGCAAAUGUCAGUAUUUUCUUAUCAAGCUGUAUGAAUUCAUUGUUAGGAUCCGAAGCUUCUAUUGAAAUAUCAUUCACCAAUUUAGCAAUUUCUUGGUCUCUAAAACGUUGAAAUGAACGAACCCUCUUGGUAGUAAAAAGCUCUAUAACACAAAGCUUACGUAUCUCUCUCCAGUAAUCACCAUAAGGAGAAAAAGUGAUGUCCUUGCGGUUGUAUGAUAAUUUCCUUGUACCACAAGAAUCAGGCCUACUACAACACUUUGUAUCGUGAAUUUUGAGCACCUCUUUCGCCAUCUCUGGGGACGAGAUGACCAGAAGAGGGACUUGGCCAAGUUUGAGGUGCAUGACAGGUCCAUAUUUCAGGGACAGCUUCUGCAGUGAAACGUGAGGCAAUUUUCCAAGCUGGUGAAGGUUGCCUAUGAUUGGAAGCCUUGCUGGACCUGGCGGUAGGUUUUCCAGAUUAUUAUUUC
rnacentral:lncRNA from 1 species